rnacentral:rRNA from 1 species
AUUGAACGCUGGCGGCAGGCUUAACACAUGCAAGUCGAGCGAGUGGCGGACGGGUGAGUAAUGUCUGGGAAACUGCCUGAUGGAGGGGGAUAACUACUGGAAACGGUAGCUAAUACCGCAUACCAUCAGAUGUGCCCAGAUGGGAUUAGCUAGUAGGUGGGGUAAAGGCUCACCUAGGCGACGAUCCCUAGCUGGUCUGAGAGGAUGACCAGCCACACUGGAACUGAGACACGGUCCAGACUCCUACGGGAGGCAGCAGUGGGGAAUAUUGCACAAUGGGCGCAAGCCUGAUGCAGCCAUGCCGCGUGUAUGAAGAAGGCCUUCGGGUUGUAAAGCACUUUCAGCGGGGAGGCGUUACCCGCAGAAGAAGCACCGGCUAACUCCGUGCCAGCAGCCGCGGUAAUUC